GCUUGACUGCGAGACCUACAAGUCGAGCAGGGACGAAAGUCGGGCUUAGUGAUCCGGUGGUUCCGCAUGGAAGGGCCAUCGCUCAACGGAUAAAAGCUACCCCGGGGAUAACAGGCUUAUCUCCCCCAAGAGUCCACAUCGACGGGGAGGUUUGGCACCUCGAUGUCGGCUCAUCGCAUCCUGGGGCUGUAGUCGGUCCCAAGGGUUGGGCUGUUCGCCCAUUAAAGCGGUACGCGAGCUGGGUUCAGAACGUCGUGAGACAGUUCGGUCCCUAUCCGUCGUGGGCGUAGGAAAUUUGAGAGGAGCUGUCCUUAGUACGAGAGGACCGGGAUGGACACACCGCUGGUGUACCAGUUGUCUUGCCAAAGGCAUCGCUGGGUAGCUAUGUGUGGACGGGAUAAGUGCUGAAAGCAUCUAAGCAUGAAGCCCCCCUCAAGAUGAGAUUUCCCAUAGCGCAAGCUAGUAAGAUCCCUGAAAGAUGAUCAGGUUGAUAGGUCAGAGGUGGAAGCGUGGCGACAUGUGUAGCUGACUGAUACUAAUCGAUCGAGGACUUAACCAAAC
rnacentral:rRNA from 2 species